rnacentral:snoRNA from 1 species
GGGCUUAUGAUGAAAUCUCAUUAUCUUAGCGGAUUUCAGUGAGAUAAAUUUGUCAAUGAUCUGAUUGUUACACACGCUGAAGCCU